AAAAUCAGUUAAUCUUUAAGUAAUAUGAAAACACUUAUAAUAAUGUCAAAAUAAUCAUACAUAUCGAGUACAUUAGGAAUGAAGUACUUACCUCAAUAAAAGAAUUGCUUUAACACUACUCAAAGCUUCGAAGAGCCUCAAAUACUUCUAACACCUUAAAUAAAUACAAGAUAUAACUAUUAAGAACUUAUUAUAAGAAUCUAAUUUUUUAAUUCAUACCCAUACAAACUUGAUUCUUAAAAUUUUAACUCUUAAUCUAAAAAUCAUAAUGACAUAAUAUUCUACAGAACUAUUAUGGACAUCCAUGGGUACCUCAUGUAAAAUUUUUAAGAGGAUCUGAUACCAAAAAUAUUUUCAAAAAACAGUUUCAUAGUAUCUUAAUUGAACAGAUCGAGUUCUGAGAUUUUUAUAAAAUUAGAUACUAAUCGGAAAAUUAUGAAAUUAAAACUGAAAAUACUAGACACAUAUAUUAACUUCUAUAUAAAAUUUCAGAAUGUUUUGAGUUCAUUUGGUAGUACAAAUAAUUUUGUGAAUCUAGUUGCCUUGGUGGAAUCAUAGUUUUCCAAUGCAAUAAUGUCAGUUUCAAAAAUACAUAUAAAACUGAAAACAAAGUUAAAUUUUAUGAAACAAAAUUUACUCAAUAAGCCCUACAUGUCUAGUUUUAAAAAAGAUACAGUUCUUAAGAAAAAUCAUUCAGAAAAUAUAUAUUUAAUUUGAGAUAGUCAUACUAUCCAGAUUUGUUCGGUGUGCUUAAUGCACUAAAAAUUGAUUAACAAGACUCACAAUAAAUCAGAGCUCUAAACAGAACCUAAACACAUCCUAAAUCAUGUAUUAUGAUCUGUAACAAUCUAAAAUCAUGCUAACUCAAAUCUUAGAUAGAGUGAUUAGAAAACUUGUGGAAAAUAAGGAGAGUAAACUUACCAAUCACUUUAAUUCUCUCCUAAAUAAAUGUUUGAAUCAUAAGAUUUGGGUAAGAGCGCAAUAAGCAGUAGAGAAAAAAAAAAAGAAAUGUCGUAGUCUUAGGGUUAUAGAAGAGGAAAAAAUAUAAAUUUAUAGGGAGUCUUAAAAAAUUAUAUUAAAUUUUAAAAAAUAAUUUUUUUAAAAAUUAUCCUGUAAAUAAUCCUUAUUAAUAAAGAAAAUAAUAUCAUUUUUAAAUUCCAAUAAAACAAAACAAAAUAAUAAAAAUUUGGGCCUUACACAAAUAAUCUCGCGCGUAAUUGUCCAUUGAUGGACAUCCUUCGGGAGUGGGUCCCUGCUCAGUGUCAAUGGCACAACGACAACCACCAUCAUCAUGAGAUCAGCAUUCGGCAUGGCUUCUUUUACUUCAUCGCAUUCCAUGACCGUGAGUAUCAGAGCCGAUCCUUUUUACUACUCUAGCAUAAACUGCCGGAUCGGCGAUGUAAGUUUCAAGUUCCGGCGGGAAAAAUUGAUAGUUCUCGAGAAUGAGAUUGAAUGUAGCUUUGAUUUCUCACUCAAUUUUCUCAAUUUCCUUGAAAGAUGUAUUUUUCUUUUCUUCUUCCGUUUCAACUGCUGCUGCUGCAUUAAGCUUAACCAUCGGUUUAGGGGAUUCAAGUUCUUCCAAAGCAGCCUCUUCUUUCCUUCGUGUUUCCACCAAUAGUUUUGAAUACAUCAUUUAUGGCUGCGUUUCCACUUCUUCUCUGUCGUUCCACUUUCUCUUUCUGUAACAAAACAAGCGAACCACCGCGCCUCUCCUUUUACAGACAAAGGUGAUUUCCUAGUUUAAAUUGGAAACCAAACUAAACCCAAUUUGGAAAUCUUAUUGCUAGUUGGAUUCGAAAGUAACCUUUUGAAAGCAAAACUCUAUAGGUGUACUUGCAACGGAUGUGCGUCUCAGAAGUAUAAUUUAUAGAGAGCUAUUCGAGCAAGGUUGUUGGUAAAAUGUCCUUUUUUUAUUUAUAACUGAUUUUUAAGUAUUU
rnacentral:lncRNA from 1 species